rnacentral:lncRNA from 13 species
CUAUCUUAGUCUAUUUUCUUUGCUAUAAUAGAACAUUACAAAUUAGGUAAUUUAUAAAGAAAAGAAAUUUAUUUCUUACAGUUCUAGGAGGUGUCCAAGGUUGGGAGGCUGCUGCUGGUGAGGGCCUUCUCACUAUGUCAUAACAUGGGAGAGGACAUCACAUGGAAGCAGACUCCAAGAUGGAGGUUGGCAUACAGGUGGCUCAGUGGGGAGUGCUUUGAGUAUCAACACCUGUGAAAGGAAGUGGGGAUGGUCAGAUGAUGAAGCUCAGCUGCAAUGCGGUCUCAAUGAAUCCCUCAGCCAAUCCUGCAGGGAGUUCUGAAGAUGGGCUGGCCAUCAGAGCUCUCCUGAGUUGGGGUUUUCUCCUGCCUGACCCCACACAACUAAACACAGAAGAAUGAGGAACUAAAUGAUCAUUGCCAGCAGCUUCUCCGAGGAGUCAUCAUUUUCUUCGCACAUGAACAAGGAGUCCGAUGACUGCACUAUAUUGAGAUGUGAAAGCAGAAUUUUUAUACUUACCAAGACUAAUACACCUGAAAGUGGCAUCAAGCCAUUCAACAGAAACAACCUAAUGGCCAAGUACUGCCCAGGAGAGGCUUGAUGUUAAACAAAAAAUAUCACAAACGAAGGUAAGGAACGACUUAGAACAGCACAGCAGUUAAAAGGCUAGGCUAGGAUACUGCACAAAGAAAGCAGGCUUUUUAAAAGGGCUCAAAGCAGAGCGGCAGCACAGGUAGAAUCCCCAUACCACAGAGAGCCAGAAGCCUUCCCCAGAUUAGUAAGUCAGCAGCAGGGAUUUUGUAGAACACAUUAGAGUUUCCCUAGGAUUACAACCAAUUAAGACUCUGGAGAAGCAAACUUUGAACAAGUACAUAAACAAAGGCCCUGACAUCAGAUAGAGCCCUGUACAGAAUGACAUGGGGCAAAAAUAAUGACAGACACUGAGAAUAAAAAUAAGCAAAUAAGCA